GAAAGAGCCAAGCAGCUUCCAAGAGGGUGUUUCCUCAGCGUGACCCAGAAGAGAGUUUGAGAACGGGCUGGGUGCUCCUUCUGAGCACAGUCAGAGCUUCUGGAAACUUCAAGAUGGCCUACUACCAGCAGAAGAGACACAGCUGGCCACUUCUGGCUGAGGGGAGAUCUUAUUGCUCUCUUCAAAUACCUCAAAGAUUUGAAGGUGGUUGUCGCUGGUACCUUUGGCAUUUCUGUUCUCAAAGCCAUUCAGACAGCAAAUGUGCUCUGGAGCUGUGACUCAUGUCUGACUCAGAAAAUGAGGUCUCCCAGUAUUUCUGAUUGGCUGCAAGCUUUUCAAUCUGGCUUCAGAAGUGCUACAAUCAAAAUGCAGCUGAAUUCCUGUCAUGAAGAGGGAGAAGAAACAGCAGCAUUUACUAUGUCAUUUAUAGCAGCUGUCACUUUUAAAAGUUACUAAACUCUCCUUACCUAGAAAAGUAUUUAAUCUUUUCAUUGCCCCAGGCAUUUGAUUUUCCUUUUCUCAGUUCGCUUCAGCUUUCAUCCUUUCCUUAUCAUCCUAUGUGUCUAUCAACACAGUCUUUUCUGUAUUAUUUUCCCUGAUACUGAAUGCAGAACUUUGUAAAGAAUUCUUAAAACAAUUGUCAAGGUUGAACUGAAUUCAAGAAUAAAAAUACAUAUAUCUGUAUCUCA
rnacentral:lncRNA from 1 species